rnacentral:rRNA from 1 species
UCAAAGGAAUUGACGGGGACCCGCACAAGCGGUGGAGCAUGUGGUUUAAUUCGAAGCAACGCGAAGAACCUUACCAACUCUUGACAUCCCCCUGACCGGUACAGAGAUGUACCUUCCCCUUCGGGGGCAGGGGUGACAGGUGGUGCAUGGUUGUCGUCAGCUCGUGUCGUGAGAUGUUGGGUUAAGUCCCGCAACGAGCGCAACCCUUGUCCUUAGUUGCCAGCAUCUGGUUGGGCACUCUAAGGAGACUGCCGGUGACAAACCGGAGGAAGGUGGGGAUGACGUCAAAUCAUCAUGCCCCUUAUGAGUUGGGCUACACACGUGCUACAAUGGACGGUACAAAGGGCAGCGAAGCCGCGAGGUGGAGCCAAUCCCAGAAAGCCGUUCUCAGUUCGGAUUGCAGGCUGCAACUCGCGUGCAUGAAGUCGGAAUCGCUAGUAAU